GACGAACGCUGGCGGCGUGCUUAACACAUGCAAGUCGAACGGAAAGGCCCUGCUUUUGUGGGGUGCUCGAGUGGCGAACGGGUGAGUAACACGUGAGUAACCUGCCCUUGACUUUGGGAUAACUUCAGGAAACUGGGGCUAAUACCGGUUAGGAGCUCCUGCUGCAUGGUGGGGGUUGGAAAGUUUCGGCGGUUGGGGAUGGACUCGCGGCUUAUCAGCUUGUUGGUGGGGUAGUGGCUUACCAAGGCUUUGACGGGUAGCCGGCCUGAGAGGGUGACCGGCCACAUUGGGACUGAGAUACAGCCCAGACUCCUACGGGAGGCAGCAGUGGGGAAUAUUGCACAAUGGGCGGAAGCCUGAUGCAGCAACGCCGCGUGCGGGAUGACGGCCUUCGGGUUGUAAACCGCUUUCGCCUGUGACGAAGCGUGAGUGACGGUAAUGGGUAAAGAAGCACCGGCUAACUACGUG
rnacentral:rRNA from 1 species